GACUCUCACAACCAAAUGGAGGAAGAGCAAUACCAUUUCAGAAGGUGACCAUGCUGUUGUGUUACAGGUGAUCAACAGUUUGAACUGCUUGGCGUCCAUGUUAUACUGAAGAUCGUGGGAAUCAUAAUGCUCAUCAGUGUGUUGGUCAUCUUUGAGUGCUGGUUUCGAUUAAGACACUCCACCAAACCAAUGAAGGAUGCAGUAGUGGCACACUAUGCCAACACAGUGACUGAGUUGUCAGUACAGUCACACUAUGCCAACACAGUGACUGAGUUGUCAACAUGAGUCACAAGGAGAGGAGGAAGAUGUGGUGUAUAACAGGAACGACAUGCUGUAUCUUCUCUUCUGUAUUCAUCUCUCAGUCUGAAGUUUCUUCUUGUUAGUUUUCUCCAGGCCUGUAAAUACUAAAUGUUACUACUUGUUUUAAACAUGACCCCAGACUUGUGUGAAUAUUACUUUUAUGUGAUGUUUCUUCUUCUGUUUCUUUGUUAAAGUGAGUAUAACUCAAAAGCAAAAACAUGUUUAAUUAUUUUUUCUUAUGUUGAACUGAUUUACAGAGGUGUAUAGUAACGAAGUAGAUGUACUUUGUGACACUACUGAAGUAGUUUUUUUGAGGAUCUGUACUUUACUUGAGUUUUUUUUUUUAAUCAAGACUUUAACAAUUAACGUUGAUGAGGAAGACAUAGAAGACGUUACCAAACUGACAGCAUCUCCUUCGGUAGAAGACGACAGUCACCCACCGUGGUCAUACCUGGCAACAAUGUUUGGCUACCUUGGGAUAGGUGAAAAUCCUAAAACAUAAAAAGUGAUGUGCAACCAGUCUGCAGUGAUGGUGCUGUGUGUAGUGAGAAUGUAUUUUUUAAGUUGUAUUCUUAACCAGACACAAGGCACCUAAUUUAGUUGGGUUCUCUGAGGCAGAUAGAAGGCAUUUUUUUGCGGUCUUAGGCAGACAGACGCUUUAUUUAUAGUUGUUCUCAGGCAGACACGAGACACUUGAUUCACUCACUCUACAUGUUUGCUCAGAUGUUUUUUUGUUUUUGUUUUAUCAUACCACAUCUAUUUCAUUCACCUGAAAGUGAAAUAAAGAGAACAAGGGGAGAACCAUUUUUGGUUGUUUUGCUUCUUUUUAUGCGUACUAUAAAAAUACUUUGUACUUUACUUGUACUUGUUCUUUUGAUACUUGAGUAUAUUUUUUUUACAAGAUUUUUGAUAAUUAAGUACAUUUAAUGUGAGCUACUUUAAGACUUAUACUCAAGUGAUUUUUC